UACGUAGGGCGCAAGCGUUGUCCGGAAUUAUUGGGCCUAAAGCAUCCGUAGCCGGUUCUACAAGUCUUCCGUUAAAUCCACCUGCUUAACAGAUGGGCUGCGGAGGAUACUAUGGAGCUAGGAGGCGGGAGAGGCAAGCGGUACUUAGUGGGUAGGGGUAAAAUCCGUUGAUCCAUUGAAGACCACCAGUGGCGAAGGCGGCUUGCCAGAACGCACUCGACGGUGAGGGAUGAAAGCUGGGGGAGCAAACCGG
rnacentral:rRNA from 1 species